GGGAAUAUAGCUCAGGAGGUCAGAGCACGGUUCUUAUAAAGCCGAAGUCGGUGGUUCGAGUCCACCUAUUCCCA
rnacentral:tRNA from 1 species